rnacentral:rRNA from 1 species
GACGAACGCUGGCGGCGUGCCUAAUACAUGCAAGUCGAGCGAAGUUUUUCUGGUGCUUGCACUAGAAAAACUUAGCGGCGAACGGGUGAGUAACACGUAAAGAACCUGCCUCAUAGACUGGGACAACUAUUGGAAACGAUAGCUAAUACCGGAUAACAGUAUUUCUCGCAUGAGAGAUAUUUAAAAGUUGGUUAUGCUAACACUAUGAGAUGGCUUUGCGGUGCAUUAGCUAGUUGGUGGGGUAAAGGCCCACCAAGGCGACGAUGCAUAGCCGACCUGAGAGGGUGAUCGGCCACACUGGGACUGAGACACGGCCCAGACUCCUACGGGAGGCAGCAGUAGGGAAUCUUCCGCAAUGGGCGAAAGCCUGACGGAGCAACGCCGUGUGAGUGAAGAAGGAUUUCGGUUCGUAAAGCUCUGUUGUUAGGGAAGAAUGGAUAUGUAGUAACUAUACAUGUAAGAGACGGUACCUAACCAGAAAGCCACGGCUAACUACGUG